rnacentral:rRNA from 1 species
GACGAACGCUGGCGGCGUGCUUAACACAUGCAAGUCGAACGGAAAGGCCCUGCUUUUGUGGGGUGCUCGAGUGGCGAACGGGUGAGUAACACGUGAGUAACCUGCCCUUGACUUUGGGAUAACUUCAGGAAACUGGGGCUACUACCGGAUAGGAGCUCCUGCUGCAUGGUGGGGGUUGGAAAGUUUCGGCGGUAGGGGAUGGACUCGCGGCUUAUCAGCUUGUUGGUGGGGUAGUGGCUUACCAAGGAUUUGACGGGUAGCCGGCCUGAGAGGGUGACCGGCCACAUUGGGACUGAGAGAGGGCCCAGACUCGUAUGGUAGGCAGCAGUCGGGAAUAUGGCACAAUGGGAGGAAGCCUGAUGCAGCAACGCCGCGUGCGGGAUGACGGCCUUCGGGUUGUAAACAGCUUUCGCCUGUGACGAAGCGUGAGUGACGGUAAUGGGUAAAGAAGCACCGGCUAACUACGUG